CCACACUGCCCCCCCAUUGUCACCAGUACACGCACUCCCUCCCGCACUAUCACCCUCACCUCCUGUCUCUGUAUGUAUGUGUAUCUGUGUGUCCUUUUGUGCAAGUGUGUGUAUUUGUGUGUCUGUGUAUCUGUGUCAGAUGUCAACUGUUGGUAAGUUAUUUUGCUUAGAGAUACCUACUAUGACUCUACUUGCCUAUACUAGAAGAAUUUCAAAAGGUUCCAUUAAUGUCAGCUGGCUCACUGUAUCUUGCGUAAAUCACAGACUGAAUUUUACCGUUGUCAAUGCAGGUUGGAAGGCCCUUGUACAACAGAAGACACAAACAUGUCAGCUCUAUCUUAAAUAAAAAUGUGUUUCGUACGUAACAAGUUGUGUUAUGUUUCCAUAGCAGCUGUCAACUAGAUAUUAACUGAGUGCGAAAUAUUGACAGAUGAUGCCUGUUGUUGUGGAGUACCCAGAAGUCAGAGGAGAGAUGCCAACGACCUGAGGACCACAAGGAAAAGGUAGGCCACCACACCACGAGCUAUAGUUUAGAAAAUUAAGAAAAAUAAACUUCAAAAUUGUUUAUCAUGAUGUACUAACAAGCACAUUCUCUUUUUUGACUUAUUUUUAUACACUUGAAUGGCUGUUAACUUUAGUUUUUAAACACAAAAUAAAAACAUUCUAUUCAUUCUGAGACCAUGCAUCGGUGCAGGAAGUAUCUCUGAAGGCGCUCCAUGAGAUUACAGGGUGUUUUUCCUCCUGACUCUGUAUGUAUAACACUCUACAGUGCUCUAACCAGACACAUCCUUUGAUAGAAACAGUGUUUACAUCUUAUUUAUGUGCCAAUCCUCUCCUUUCCAAGAGGAAGAAUUAUUUUUCUGUUGUUGCACCCUUGGCAGACUUUCCAGAGUGUAUCUGGUAUAUGUCAAACUUUGAAAUAAAGUUGUUCAUUACAGAAAAUAAUUAUAUAUAUUUAUUGCUUGAUAUGAAAUGUAAGACGUUAAUGGAAGAUUCUGAUCAUUACAGUGUAAAAAAAUGUUUUUCACAAAUGAACUAGGGAGGAAUACAAUAGAAUUAAAUUUUUUUUAAGGAUUAUAUAAAUUAUUUUAAGACAUUUUACAUAUUUAAUAAAAUAUAAUUUCAGCCUACACCACUGCUAAUUUUAGAUUGAUGUUUAUUUAAAUAGAAAGCUGCAUAUUUACGCAAUUAUUUUUUUCCGAACAGCAAAUUCUUUUAAAAAUGUCCAAAGACAAGCUGAUAUAAAUCAUUCAUGGUUUACAAAAAAAUCCUAUACGGUGGUUGGUGCAUUUUGAAAAUUAAGUACUACAUCUAUCUAUGCUGGACUAGAUCUGCCCUUCGUCUAGUCAUUUUAUUUAAAGGAAAUGUGAGCUAUAGUACAAUGGCAGUAUUUCUUAAUGCUUCAUUAAAGGAACUAUAUAGUCACCAAAACAGCUUUAGCUUAAUGAAGCAGUUUUGGUGAAUAGAUUAUGCAGUCUUACUGCUCGAUUGUCUGCUAUUUAGUAGUUAAAUCACGUUGCUUAUGCAGCCCUAGUUACACCUAACAGCAUGGGACUUCCACAUCCUUUCUAAACACUUCCUGUAAAGAGCCAUGUUUACCCUUCUUAAUUGCAAAUUUUGUUUAAUUUAGAAUUUUUUGUGUCCUGCUCUAUUAAUAGCUUGCUAGAUCCUACAGAAACCUCCUGCAUGUGAUUAAAGUUCAAUUUACAGAGCAGAAGAUAAAAAUUGUUAAAGUAAGUUAUAUCUGAUUGAAAAUAAAACCAUUUUGUUUUCAUGCAGGUUCUGUCAGUCACAGCCAGGGUGUGUGGCUAGGGCUACAUAAACAGAAACAAAAGUGAUUUAACUCCUAGAUGGCAGUGAAUUGAGUAGUGAGAUUUCAGAGGCAUGAUCUAUACACAAAAACUGCUUCAUUAAGGUAAAAUUGUUUUGGUGACUAUAGUGUCCCUUUAAAUAAUAAUUUGUGGUAAUUCGUCCAUCAGCAUGCAACAAUUUUUCAAACUGUCCAAGUUGGGAAAAAAAUCACAACCCAAGAUAGCUGAAUGUUAUUUCAAACUUGACAAUUUAACCUAUCUGUUCAAGACCCUGACUCUACAAGAUAUAAAACUCUGUUUUCUUAGAUUAACCUACUAUUCAAGAAAAUGGGCAGAAUUUAUAUGUGUAGAACAAAUACAGAUACAGUCUUGAAUGUGGAUCUGUCAAAAAUAUCCAGUAUGGGACUCAAUAUGAUUUUUCAUAUAUUACAAAUCAAACUGCUACUUUUCAUCUAUAGUAAAUACAAUGAUUCUUAUAAGAUUACGUUGAAGGUGCAGCUGUUUAAAUUAAUUAGAUCUGCAGAAAGUACCCCUUAAUUUAAACAGCUUUCCCAUCACCGUUAACGUGUGUUGUGAAAGUGACAUUAUUAUUUUUUUGGGAAAAAUGGAAAUUAUUUUUUGUGAGUGACUGCUACUUUCUCUUUAAAGGAAAUGUCAAAACUGCACAGAAAAAGAAAACAUGGAUUAAAACAGGCAAGGCAUAUAAAGCAUUGUCUGAAUCUUCACUCCAAACAAACAAAGAUAAAGUGGUUCAACUCGAGCAAUUUGUAAACAUCUGUUUGCUGUAAUCAUCAGAUUUUGUUUGGUUUUUCAGCCAUUCCUUGGCUCGAACAUCAUGGCGCGCGACGAAAGAAGAAAACAUAUGGACUAGGGCUGUGAUUUACAGACUGCAAAGCAAGUAUCGCAGAAAGUGUUGGCU